rnacentral:rRNA from 1 species
AAUCAACGCUGGCGGCGUGCCUCAGACAUGCAAGUCGAACGCGAAAGCCCUUCGGGUGAGUAGAGUGGCGCACGGGUGAGUAACACGUAGGUAAUCUACCUUUGGGUGGGGAAGUAACGACCGGAAACGGUCGCUAAUACCGCAUAAUGCAGCGGCACCACAUGGUGACAGUUGUUAAAGCGGGGGAGUCGUAAGACCUCGCGCCUGGAGAUGAGCCUGCGGCGGAUUAGCUAGUUGGCAGGGUAACGGCCUACCAAGGCGACGAUCCGUAGCCGGCCUGAGAGGGCGGACGGCCACACUGGCACUGACAUACGGGCCAGACUCCUACGGGAGGCAGCAGUCGGGAAUUUUGGGUCAAUGGGCGCAAGCCUGACCCCAGCAACGCCGCGUGAAGGAUGAAGCUUUUCGGUAUGUAAACUUCGAAAGAAUGGGAAGAAUCAAUGACGGUACCAUUUAUAAGGUCCGGCUAACUACGUGCCAGCAG